CAAAGGACUGAAAGAAGAAAAUUUCUAUCAUCUCUAUAAGGUGUUAUCCAGAAAAAAAAAAAAAGGAAAGAAAACGAAAACAGUCGAGGUUUUUUGGUUUCUAGAUCUGGUUUGUCUCCCCCCGAUCUCCAUCAUCUGGCUCUUCGAUCUGCUAGACGAGAUGAUCAGUCCUCAUGGAUCGAAUGACUUCAAGCUCGUUUCAGAUUGAAUUGUCCUUGGUCCUUACCGCUACAAGACACUGAUUUGGAGCGACGAAGUUGCAUGCAAUCUCAGCUCUCUCUCGAUCCUUCUUCCUCACACCAGUUUAUGUUCCACCAAUGGCUGUAUCUGGCUAUUCCAAUAAUCUUGCCUAUCCUCACAUGUCUAAUGGCAACACCUAUUUGCUGGUGCCUGCAUGUAGUUUAAGCCUGUACUUACUGGAAGUCCCAUGGGCUUUGGAAGGUUUACUAAUCCAACUGGUUAUGCAGUGAAUGCCCCUGGUGUAGUUGGAGCUGCCAUUGAGCUAGUUUUUGACUAGAAAUCAAAUGCAGAAUCACUAGGUCUAAGGCAAUUUCUUGAUUGUGGUGAACAUGAAAUUUGAUGGAGAGCUUAUAUAUUUGACAACCCAUCGGCGUACUUGGGCUCAUGGAAUUUUUUGGUUAUGUGAACAGAAUUAAAUUUCACCUCAUGGAGUGAAGGGUGGAGGUUAGAGAAGUACAAAAUUAGAAAGCCAACAUUGUUUGUUCUUUAGGUUUCUCAUAAAUGGUUACUAUCAGAUUUUAAACUUGAAUUUGUAGAUCUGACCUUUGUAUCAGUCUUAAAUUUUAUAUUCUUUACACCAAUUAAAUAGAUAAUUACUGCCUAACUAGAUCUUUCCAGCUUUUGAGGCCUAUUGUUAACUAAC